rnacentral:rRNA from 1 species
UACGUAGGGUGCAGGCGUUAAUCGGAAUUCCUGGGCGUAAAGCGUGCGCAGGCGGUUUGCUAAGACAGGUGUGAAAUCCCCGGGCUUAACCUGGGAACUGCGCUUGUUACUGGCAGGCUUGAGUGUGGCAGAGGGGGGUGGAAUUCCACGUGUAGCAGUGAAAUGCGUAGAGAUGUGGAGGAACACCGAUGGCGAAGGCAGCCCCCUGGGCUAACACUGACGCUCAUGCACGAAAGCGUGGGGAGCAAACAGG